CCUUCGCUCAACAAAUCGCUAUUCGAAGCUUUCACACAGAGACACUGCAUCGCAGCGUCUCCCACACACUCACGCUUUGGGAGAAAGUCCCCGGACGCGUCCCCUCGCGGGGACACUGCGGAAACGCGCCGCCAUAAAAGCACCGCGGCUGACCUCUGUGCCCUUUGGCCUUUGUUCCUCGCGCCCAUCCCUGCUCGCCGCUACAUUCGCGCCCGCCAGCCCCGUCGCUUGCCCAUCGUCCUCUGCCUGUGGCCGCCUAUGGAUGAAGAUAUGAGUCCGCGCCGGCAGGCUACCCGGGGAUGUGUGGGCGGGGGGCCGGGCUCGGAGGGUGUUGGAUGGCGGGCGAGGCAUUGCGGCGCGUGCGAGAUUGGCGUCGGGCCGCAGAGGGCAUUUUCGUCGAGGUUGAUAGGUAUGCGAUUGCCCGGUGUAACAAGCCGGGUUACUCGAUGGGGCUUAUUCUUGAGGCGAUG
rnacentral:RNase_MRP_RNA from 2 species